UUGAGGACUAAGAUUUAACUUUAAGGAUAUUGACUAUCAUAUGGCUUAUAAUAGCUAAAGAGAGAAACCGUCUCUAUAUAAUAGACCCACUCACCCUUUAUCAGGGUACAGUCAGGAAAACAAUCCAUUCCAGUCAUUGUAAACAUUUUAAUACUGUGACUUGGUUGCAUAGGGUGACGGCAAUGCUGAGAAGCCAAGCAGUACAGAGAAGCAACCCAGGGAUUAGCAACAUCAAGAAAAGUAGCUUCAAUCCCACUGGCUGGAUCCGAGUCCCAAAGCUGGGAAAGGAAGACUGAGGAAUGCAACCACAGCUGGAUGGAUUUUUUCACAAGAUAAUGUUUGUGGAUUCCAGCAUUUCAUUCAAAUUCCAAAGAGAAUCAUUUACAAGUUAAUUUCUGUCUACCUGGCACAUUCAUUCUCUCUAAUAAACAUUUCCGCCCCUUGAAAAAGUCAUCACAUUUCCCCUAUCUCUCCUUCCCCUAUGAAGAAGGGUUUAUAAGCAUCUGGACUUCACUACAUUAUUGGGUAAUCAUUCUGUGAUUCUUCCAUGUUAUGUAUGUUAAAAUAAAUUUGUACACAAAAUAAAACUGCAAUAGGAG
rnacentral:lncRNA from 10 species